rnacentral:tRNA from 1 species
GCGCCCGUAGCUCAAUUGGAUAGAGCGCUGGCCUCCGGAGCCAGAGGUUAUGGGUUCGACCCCCGUCGGGCGCG